GAGCCGCACGCGUGGACCGCCGCCGCCAUUGCCCGGCGAAUCGGUGCCGACGCGCCCACGACGCUGGGCUGAGCCAGCCCGGCCCACGUGCUGAGGCCCAUGAAGCCCACUAUCCCCACCGAUCUAUCUCCUCCUCGCCUCCGCCGCCGCUCCGUUUGGCCGCCAUUGCUGCCGCGGCCUCAAACCCUAACCCUCGCGACGCGACGCCACGGAUUUGUCUCCAUCUCUCACCAGUGGCCACAAUGGCGUCGCUGGCGCAGCCUUCGCGCCUCGUUCCACGUGGGGCGGCGCCUCUGAUCGAGGGGGCGUCUGCCCAAGGUGCGUACACCUCGUCGCCGAUGGAGAUCUGUGUGACAGUCUUACAAUGAAUAUCCGGUGGUGGAAUAAUUUUUCUGGAUCUGUGCGACAGUAAAGGGAACGAACUGACCUAGCUUUUGGUUUUCUCCUGUUAUUUGAGUAGAAGGGCAAUACCAACAAAAAAAAAGGAGGUCCCACCGGGAUUCGAACCCAGGUUGCCAGAUUCAAAGUCUGGAGUGCUAACCUCUACACUAUGGAACCAGAUGUUAAGGGCAACACCAACAAAAAAAAGGAGGUCCCACCGGGAUUUGAACCCAGGUUGCCAGAUUCAAAGUCUGGAGUGCUAACCUCUACACUAUGGAACCAGAUGUUGUAUGUGCUCCCUUCCAGUGUACAUUUCUGUCUUAUAUUCAUAAACUCAGUUAAAUGGAAAGACAUUGUCUUUAUCCUUUAUUAUCUGUUUGUUUCCAUCUGUUUGUUUUCUGUGAAACUGUGUUACCUUUUGAGCAUGCAUCCAAUUAGCAUACAUGCAGAAUAUGACAUUUGCUCAAAGUUCUAUUAAUUU